GGCAGAAUGGUGUAAUGGUUUGAGCACUGGACUAUGACUCUGGAGAUCAGGGUUUGAUUCCCGCUCAGCCA